GACGAACGCUGGCGGCGUGCUUAACACAUGCAAGUCGAGCGGUAAGGCCCUUUCGGGGGUACGACGAGCGGCGAACGGGUGAGUAACACGUGGGUGACCUGCCCUCAGCUCUGGGAUAAGCCUCGGGAAACCGGGUCUAAUACUGGAUAUGACUCCAUGACGCAUGUUGGUGGGGUGGAAAGCCUUGUGCGGCUGAGGAUGGGCCCGCGGCCUAUC
rnacentral:rRNA from 1 species